UAGAUUUAACAGAUUUAAAUCCAAAAACAUAGAGAUGAAAGCCUUCCUCUUGAUUCUGCUGUGUGUCUUUUUUAUUGCCUCUGUGGAAGUUGUCAUGGCGGGACAUGGUUGCUAUGGUCCUUUAUAUCACAGCGACAGAGAUUGCAGUGAUUAUUGCAAGGCUAACCUCGGUAAAAGUGGCGGAUUCUGCAAUUCGAGAAAAUAUUGGUUCGUGUGCUAUUGUAUUCCGUAAAGAGAACUGGAAAGACAAAUUCAGGCAAAACUGGAUUCACGGUGUUGUAACGAAUUGCAAAUAAAG